GACGGAGGAGGCUAGCGUUGUUCGGAAUUACUGGGCGUAAAGCGCGCGCAGGCGGCUUAGCAAGUCAGGGGUGAAAGCCCGGGGCUCAACCUCGGAACUGCCUUUGAGACUGCUAGGCUCGAGACCGAGAGAGGAGAGUGGAAUUCCCAGUGUAGAGGUGAAAUUCGUAGAUAUUGGGAAGAACACCGAUGGCGAAGGCAAUCCCCUGGGCCUGCACUGACGCUCAUGCACGAAAGCGUGGGGAGCAAACAGG
rnacentral:rRNA from 1 species